UACUCGAGUGGCGAACGGGUGAGUAACACGUGGGCGAUCUGCCCUGCACUUCGGGAUAAGCCUGGGAAACUGGGUCUAAUACCGGAUAGGACGAUGGUUUGGAUGCCAUUGUGGAAAGUUUUUCGGCGUGGGAUGAGCUCGCGGCCUAUCAGCUUGUUGGUGGGGUAAUGGCCUACCAAGGCGUCGACGGGUAGCCGGCCUGAGAGGGUGUACGGCCACAUUGGGACUGAGAUACGGCCCAG
rnacentral:rRNA from 1 species